rnacentral:rRNA from 1 species
CAAUAGCGUAUAUUAAAGUUGUUGCGGUUAAAAAGCUCGUAGUUGGAUUUCUGCUGAGAACGACCGGUCCGCCCUCUGGGUGUGUAUCUGGCUCUUUCUUGGCAUCUUCUUGGUGAACGUUGCUGCACUUGACUGUGUGGAGCGCUACCCAGGACUUUUACUUUGAGGAAAUUAGAGUGUUUCAAGCAGGCAUACGCCUUGAAUACAUUAGCAUGGAAUAAUAAGAUAGGACCUCGGUUCUAUUUUGUUGGUUUCUAGAGCUGAGGUAAUGAUUAAUAGGGAUAGUUGGGGGCAUUCGUAUUUAACUGUCAGAGGUGAAAUUCUUGGAUUUGUUAAAGACGAACUACUGCGAAAGCAUUUGCCAAGGAUGUUUUCAUUAA